rnacentral:lncRNA from 1 species
UGCAAGGUAACACAAGUAAAUCACAUGGUUAACGAGCUGGGUUUGGAAAGAAAACUAGUGAACAUUUGGCUGAUUGGGUCUAGGAUGGAGCAAUGGCAGAUACUAGAAACCAUAGUAUACAUGGAAUGGAUUCUGAUCCAGAUACUAGACCAAAUAGGCCAAAAGAUGCAUCUUAGCAUUGAUGUUAGGCUAAAUAGUGCAGCCCAUUACAUACUGUGAUGAGUUUUCCUGCAUUUUCUGGUCUCUUUGCUACCUUUAUUGCUGCUGCAGCAGCAGCACCAGAUGACAUCCCAACCUGUAAAAAAAGAUCCCAAAAUCAUCAUAAGAAAAAAGGCCAUUGCCUACACUUCAUUGAAAGAAACCAUAUGCCAUUGCCUACAUACCAGCAAACCUUCUUUCAAUGCAAGAAGUUUAGCGGUUUCAAAUGCUUCAUCACUCGAUAUCUGAAAAGUUUCACAAACAUUAUCAGUCAAUAGCAGACAUCCAUGUUCAUCUGCUGUGGCAGUUCCAUCAUAAGUACCAUUAAAGCAGAGAUGCAAACCAAUCUUUGAAGCUACAAUGAGAUGGAAAUGGAAGUAAAACAGCAGCAUUUGCCCAAAAGUCUAUUGAUUAUAGUAUUGAAUGAUAAUGAAAUAGAUGGGAAGUUGGGAACUAGCAUGCAAGAGCUUUCCACAGCACAAGCAGAUAAUGCCACACCUCGGUUAAAGGAAAAUGCGCGAGAAAAAGAUUGCAUGGCUUACUUGAACAACUUCAUCAAGUAGUUUGACAUCCAAAACCUUAGGGAUGAUACCAGUACCAAUUCCAAGGAUCUUAUGUGGGCCUUUGAAACAUAAAAACAUGCAACAAAUUCAUAGUGGAAAUUGUCAGUAAUUGAAAAUAUUGUUCUUCUCAGAAGGGCUAGCACGAAAUCAAACUCGAAAUCAUGAUUUUCACUGCUGUGCUGCUAAAAAAAAGGAAAGAAAUAGAAAAAAAGACAUGGUGGAAGGACAGAGCAGAGUGAAUAGGAUGUAAAUGACACUAACUAACCAGGAGUUCCUCCAUUAAGAACUGCACUUUCACAUGGUUCUACACCAUAAACCUAAAUGUGAACAAAAGAAAACCAACCAAAAAUAUUAGAACCAUAAAAUAUUUGUCAUUCCAGAUCUCCACCCUCUCUCUCUUUCCCUUAAACACAUGCAUUCUAACCUUAAUCUUGGGGUUUUUCUCCUUGAGGAAGUGCCCUGCACCAGUAGCUGUACCACCAGUUCCUAUGCCUGAAACCAGGGCAUCAACUUUUCCUCCUGUGCCUUUCCAAAUCUCUGGUCCUGUUGUUUCAUAAUGAAUCUACACAAACGAUUAUAAACUGAUAAGAAAAUCUUUCUGACCAUCCAUCUGCAUUACGUAGUAUCAUUCCAGAAUAUACCUUGGGGUUGGCAGGAUUUUCAAAUUGGUUAAGAAGAUAACCAUUGGGUGUGUUUUUCAGUAUCUCAUCAGCUUUAUCAAAAACCCCCUUAAUGCCUUUGGCUAUAUCUGUGAGGUACAACUCUGCUCCAAAAGCCCGCACAACAAUUUUUCUCUCAAGAUUCACUAUACUUGGCAUGACUAGUAUAAGUUUGUAUCCCUUAGCUGCUGCAAUGAAUGCCAACCCAAUGCCAGUAUUGCCACUGGUAGCCUCAAUGAGGACAGUCUACACCCACCACCAUUCAAACAGAUUCAGAACAAAGAGAAAUAUUCCAAUUCAAAUUUGCUCCAUAAUUUGGACUAGUCACAUGAAAACAGGCCUCUAGACAACAAAAGUCUUUUCUCUUGGAGGAGAAUACCUUGAUUUCGUCCAUAUACAAAACAUACCAAAACAUGUCCGGAUAUAAGGACUAUGAUCAAUGACUAACCUGCCCAGGGGUAAUUAGACCCUUCUCUUCAGCGUCGUUAAUCAUGCUAUACCCAAUCCUGCAAAAUCCAAAGAUUUAAACAUGAUAUGAAUUCUAAGAAAACAGACUCUCAGCUAAAAAAAGGUAAAAAAAAAAAAAAUACCUGUCUUUAACACUGGAGCAGGGUUCCAUUAUCUCUAGCUUAGCAGCGAUACGGGCUACACAACCAUCAGCUAUGUUGUUUAGAUAUACCAAUGGGGUAUUGCCUAUUAGCUGUUCAUUGCAAAACAAGGGAAAAUACAAUCAUUUGAGAACAAAGGAAACAUGAAAGCCAUAAGAACAUUUGAGUAACAUCAACUUACUUCAGUAACAUCGUUUGCAAUUGCACACUUGUCCUCCAUACUACCUUUUCAGAUUACUGCAAGAUGAUAAAAAAACAAAAGCAAAAAUUGAUUUCCUCAAGCAAUUUGGACAGCCUUAUGGAAAUGAGACCAUUUCUCUGUCUUUUUCAACAUCUAGAGGAACUUAAUCCACCAGUCUUAGAAACAGCAUGAAAGUUGAUGAGGAAGAAACAUCAAUUGAGAUGGCUUCUUGAAAAUUUAUACAUAAUCUUACAUAUGCUAGAGAAUAUAUUCAUCACAAUUUGAUGAAUAAACAAAUGUAAUAUAUGAAGGAAGAUGAACACUUAGCAGACAAUUCAAUAAAAGAACUCCAUAGGUGCAGAUAAAUAUAGAUGUAUAAAUGCAGCUUGGAUUGUAUAAACAGAUUAAGGAGAAAAAUUCUUCCUAAAAGAACUAAAAUUUUCUUAGGAUCGUGAUCAAUCCAGAAAAGAAAAGCUGAAGAACUCGAGGAAAACCCAAUUAGAAUUUCAAAUACCCAACUUUGCAAACAGUCCAAAAAUGAAAAAUAUUUGAAAUAAUCACAGUAUUAUGACUGGAAUGAUUGAAAACUACUACCAGGUCAAUGAAUUUUGAAAAAUAUUCAAAGCCAAAGCAUCCACAUAUUCAAGAAUCAAACAAACGCAACAGCAGAAUCAAAAGCAAACACUAAGAAAGUCCAAGUACCCAACUCUACAAACACUGAGAAUGAAAGCUUUCCCUAUCAAGCACACCACCAAAGAAAAAGUGAGAAAUUUCAUGUACCCAUCUUUGCAAAUAUUCCACAACCGCAUAUCCUUCAACAAAAUCACCAAAUCACUGACAACAAAUUAUGGGAUGACCAAAAAAAUUGCAAACAAGCAAAAACUUUUCUUCGAAUCAAAAGUCAACCCAUGGACAAAGCAGAAACUAACAGCAAAGAAUGAUAAACUUCAAGCACCAUAACUAACGAUUAGCACUUCAAUUUACUACAAUAAAACAGCUAAAAGUCAUCUCAAAAAUCAAGAACCAAACAGCAUGCACAUUGUAGAACUGAAACCAAAAAGUGAGAAAUUUCAGGUACCCAAAUCCUGAAACAAAAAACCAUUCAGCUCUGCAUAUUUCCCAUGGAGAAAACAGUAAAGGAAUGUAUAGCCAAACAAUGGCAUUGUUUAUUUAAAAAAACAAUAAAAAAUGAUUGCUAAACAGUUCUCAGCAUUUUUCUACUUUUAUUCCUUGUCUUUUAUGGGUUUUCCUCACCAAUCAACUUCAAAAUCGUCAACAUCCACAUGUUUCUUAAUUCCUUUUUUCGCUUAACAAUCUUCAUCUCUCUUACACUAAAACGAUUAGUUAUGUUAUUCUGUGGAGGAUUGGGACUGUAUUCAUCGUACCCAUUGGAGAUUCUAGUCAAAGGAGUUGAAUAUGUAGCAUUACCUUUUGUUUUCUUAAAGGUUAGGUUAUAUUAUCACCCAUCUUUAAUUUUGCUGUACCCUUAAGAAUUUUUAAAGGAAUGGUCAUGUUAAAAGUGGUGGAUGAAUGUGAUAAUGAUAUUAAAGGUUACAUACUUUAUAUAAUUGUUGAUAAAUCCAUGAAAAUUCAUGGAUGAAAACCACUUUUACUCUUCACACAUUUCUAUUUACAUGUUUUCCAUGAUUCUCAAAGUUAGUUUUCGAUAUUAAAUCAUUGAAAAUAUUAUUUGCAUAUAUAUAAAUUUUAAAUAUAAUUUUCUUUUUCACUAUUAGUGAUUUAUAUUAAAUGUACAAGACAUUUGUAUUAAGUGACAAAACCUAUACAAAUAUGUCUAUUGUAAAUAUAUUUACGUGUUUUUCUUUCAUUUUUUUUGUUUGUUUUUUAUACCAUCAAAAACAUUGUUUACAAAUAUGCACAAAUAUCAAAUACAAUUAUUUUAUAUUUGCAUACAUGUAUAAGAUAUUUGUAUUAAAUAUAUAAGAUAUUUGUGUUAAUUUUACAAAGUUUAUAUAAGUCUAUCUAUUUUGAAUAUAUUUGCAUAUUUGUAUGGGUGUUAAUAAGAACGUGAAAAUGUCUUACACAUUUAGGGAGCAUUUUGCCAUGUUUUUUGAAAUUUGUUUUUAAAAACUGUUUUUUAUACUUUAACUUGAAAAUAAUUUUUAAAACAAGUUUCAAAAAGCAUGGUCAAACGAGCCCAUGUUUUUCAUUUAUUUUUAAAAACUAAUGAAAACAACUUCUAUUUGUUUUCUAAAAAUUAUUUUCUAUUUCAUUUUAUUUUUAAAAAUUGUUUACAGAGAAUAACAGUUAAACAAUAUUAUAAAUUUUUUAAAAACAGUUAAUUAUUUUUAAAAAUAAAAAACUAUUUUUAAAUCAUGUGACCAAACAGACUCUUAGUAUAAUUAUUUUUAUGUAAAAAUAUAAAAAAAAAAAUUAUAUUUGACAUCUGUUCAUGUGCAUAAUAAUGUUUCCGGUUGUAUGAAAAACAAGCAACAAAAAUAAAGAAAGAAUAUACAUAAAUUCAUGAUAUAAAGAUUUGUAGAUACUCUAUAUAAUUAUUAUUAAUUAAAUUUCAAAAAUAAAAAAGUAAAAAAAAGAAUAAUUGAAUAUUAAAUUAAUGAAAAAUAAUACAAACACUUGAAAAAACAAUUAGAAUAUUGUUCUCAAAAUGAUCAUUGAUACAAAUACCAUAAAAAAAAAAUGUCAUUUAUAUAAGAGGAACCUAAAAUGGGGUCUUUAUUCAAUAAAUUGGUUGUCAUUCAAGGUACAGCACAAACUGCAAUAAAACAAUGGUGGGUACAUCAUUUUAUGAUUUGGGAAUUGGGAAGUUGAUUGAGAAGCAACAUAGAGACGACUAUCUGCAAAUGGGUAGCAGCUCAUUCAAAAGUCAUGUUUUCUGCCUCCUACCUGAUGGAAUCAAACAGGACUGUGGACAAGUACCGCUCUCCGAAGCUGGGGAAAACUACCUGCAUUGGAGUUUACAGAAAUGGCAUGCUUAGUUAAGCUAGAUUCAGCAAGAAAAACAAAUCUUCAUGUGCAUUUCACUGUGGUUUUAGGCCUGCUGUCUUCAUUAUUCAACCCUCCUUUCUCAGGGCCUUUUAGUAUAUAUUUACCAACAAUGCUGAAAUGAAGUGUUGAUAUAUUAGUCUAUAUAUAUAGUCUAAGAUUGACAAUUUUGUUUCAUUUACUUUGCCUUAGGAUCUUUCUAGAUUGUCUCUUACUCCUCAUUGAAGACCCGAUAUUGCUGAUUGAUCAAUCGAAUGACAUGGUACAUAAAGGUUUGGGAAGGGCAAGUUAGUGUUUAGUAUGGCUUGGUAUGGAUCAAGGUGUUUAAAACUAUGCAAAAUAUUUUUUAACUGUUUUAAAAGAAUUACCUCAAGCACUGGUAAUAGUGCUCAAGUGCCCUGCGAUGAAAUUUUCUAAAAUUCUGGAGAUCCGUCAUUCUAUUUUUUAAAGGAUUUAAUUUGAGAAAUUAUCAAGAAUCGGUCCACUAAGUCCCUAGGCUUAUAUAUACUUUGCCCAAAAAGGUUUUUGAUUUGAUGCUUAUGAGUUGAAAAACUUAGGUUGUUUUCCCAUUCCCAAAAACUCUCAAGAAGUGUUCAUGUUCGCUUCUAUUGGGUUGAGAAGGAAAUCUUCAUCUCCUCGAGCGCUAAGGUCCAUUGGGAGCACACAAGGUGUUGCGCCAUGGAUGUGAAAUACCAUGUAGGUGUCGGGGAGUAAGUCUUAGGAUUAACUUGCAUCAUGUGUGUUGUAUUUUCAUACAGUAGAUUGUUGAUCAAAUCCUUGUGUUCUUGUGUGUGUUGGUUUUUAUUUUUCCUAUAAUAUCAAAAGACUUAUCUGGAUUAAAACAAAUCAAUUUUUUUAGGCUAAAAAAAGACUAAAACACCCAUUCACCCCCUUUGGGGGUUAAUCUAUCUUUCACAAAGAAUUUGGAACUUUUUAGAUUAUUAGAUGUACAGUAGGACAGUACAUAUGGUUUUGAUACCUAAUUACCAAACUUAGCCAAUAUAAUGGACAUUGAAAGAAUAAUAAAAAGAAUUAAUAAGUUAAAAGGGAUGGAAUGAUCCCUUAAUUUAUGAAUCUAACCCUUCCCAUAUUUUAUUUGAAAAAUAAUCCAUUUUGAAUAUAAAUGUCUUUUACCAUUUCAAGUAUUUACAUAUAGGGUUUAAAAGAGAAAGUUAUUUUUACAAGAAAAUAAUGACAUUUUUGUCCAAAUGAGGCCAAAAUAGGACGAAGGGUUAAAUUCAAAUUUUGGGUUUUCAAUGAACCUUUUAAUAAAAUAAACCUAAAAACAAACAUGAAACUAAAAAGUAUAGUGCUACAGAUAUAUCCAUUUCAAUUGGAAGAAUGCAAUUGGACUCACCACUAUGAGUUUCCCAGCAUUUUCAGGUCUCUUUGCUAUCUUUAUUGCAGC